ACCAACCACCAGCCAAAGUGCCAGGGAGGCAAGGAUGUCUAAUUAAACCAUAGUUGUCGAUGUCGUCACCGUAGAGGAGAGAGUACGAAGACGACAAGACAGAGGCACCUUGGGAAGAAGGAUGUUUGCCUCGAUGUCACCCUCUCUGCCGCGGGAAGAGGCGUCAUCAAACGGAGGUCCUGUUGUCUCCACUCGGCUUUAGAAAUAAUGGAGGUCCUAGGCUCCACCAUCUCGUUCCCCUCCUCCUCUCCUUUGCGUCAACCGAGAUAAACAACAAUGUUUCGCUUUUGAUGCAAUUCGAGAGCCAUCAACUGGCAUCGCUCUAUAGGAAGCGUGGUCCUUGUAGGGGGAAGAAUUGGAUCGGCGUACCCGGCACAGGUGGCAUGCCGGCAACGGCAAACCGCGCCUUGAAGUCGUAAGGGGCCGGAGAGCGGGAGAGCUCGGCAUGCAGUUGGAAUCUCGGAGGGAAGAUGCUGUUCUGACAUACUCGCUCGGUCCAGAAACAAGUGACGUGGAUUUAUAUAAAAAUCUAUACAAAUGCAAGUCACUUAUUUUAGGACGGAGUAAGUACAAAUCUACAGUUAUAGGAUACAGUAACACGGCAUCUUGAAUUACUGUUCUAAUGUACUCUUGUACUAUACUACUACUGUACCAAAAGACAUGCACACCAUCGACAACUUUUCA